AAGGAGGCGAUGAUAGGAAGUCCAUUAAUCCCCUGAAUUAUUGUAUUCGAAUCUCCUACAAGUCGAGUUUGGUAUCUUUGUAUAUAUACACAGCAGCCACGCCCAGGCAAGUAGCUUGCAAUUCAGCUUCCGGAACAGAGCAGCUGCGGAGAUGUCUCGCAGAGACUUUGGAUGAAUCUACCAUCAACGGCCCCUACAGUGAAUCAGGCGCCGAUAAGACAGUCAAUGACCCAUCAAGAUUAACUUUCAACACUCCUAGGGCACGGGAUAGACGGCUGACCGAGAAUAGAGGAAGAAGAGAGGCCCUGCUAAAUUUGGUGGCUGGGUCAGGCCGGUGUCUACGUUGGUGCACCUAGCUGCCUUGGUGAAAGGUAAUUGACAUUGUGUAGAGAUAAAAUUCAUUAGCCCGAAAGCUUGCUUUGAUGACAAUGGUUUACGUUGUACGCACAUUUGGUUAGAACACCCGACCAAAGAACCCAACCAGCAUACAUGAUCAAUGCUCUGGCCUCAUCCUGUAGACCUUCACCGGCGAGCCUAUCUAAUAAUUCAUCUACUGGCCGCCGGUUAAACUGUAGCUUGAGAAUAGUUCGUUAUGCUCUCCAGAGAUUAAUGCAUAAACACAACUGACCGUCGCAUGUUCUA